rnacentral:misc_RNA from 1 species
CUUUCCCUUCCUUCUACUCAUGUUUCAGUUACAAAAGAAUCCCAUCAAACCCAAUGCCCCUGUUUCUCCAUUGAAGAUCAGAGAACGAGCAGUGAUGCCUUACACCCCACAAUCCCCUGCCAUCUUGUCUGAGAUGGAUCCUGGGAUCUGGAGCCGGCUGCCUGAGGAGCUUCUUGAUCUUGUAUUGUCUUUAUUGCCUCUCAAAACGUUCUUGAAUCUGAGAUCCACUUGUAAGCACUUCAGGUCUCUUAUAUUCUCUCCUAUUUUUAUGUCCAAACACUCCUCUUCUGGUUCUCCUUUCUCCUCGUUUCUUCUACUCUCUCACCCUCAGUUUUUCCAUCGCUACUCCUUAUAUGAUUCUUUGAUUGGCACCUGGCGCAAUUUAACUUUAUCCCUCUCUUUUUUGCUACCUUCUUCUUCU